rnacentral:rRNA from 1 species
UACGGGGGGGCAAGCGUUGUUCGGAAUUACUGGGCGUAAAGGGCUCGUAGGCGGCCAACUAAGUCAGACGUGAAAUCCCUCGGCUUAACCGGGGAACUGCGUCUGAUACUGGAUGGCUUGAGUUUGGGAGAGGGAUGCGGAAUUCCAGGUGUAGCGGUGAAAUGCGUAGAUAUCCGGAGGAACACCAGUGGCGAAAGCGGCCACCUGGACUGCACCUGACGCUGACACGCGAAAGCUAGGGGAGCGAACGGG